CAAGUCGAACGCAGUAGCAAUACUGAGUGGCAGACGGGUGAGUAACAUGUGGGAAUCUGCCUUGUGGUUCAGGACAACAUUGGGAAACCGAUGCUAAUACUGGAUAAGCCCUUACGGGGAAAGUUUUAAUGCCAUAAGAUGAGCCCGCAUUUGAUUAGUUAGUUGGUGAGGUAAUGGCUCACCAAGACAAUGAUCAAUAGCUGAUCUGAGAGGAUGAUCAGCCACACUGGGACUGAGACACGGCCCAGACUCCUACGGGAGGCAGCAGUGGGGAAUCUUGCACAAUGGAGGAAACUCUGAUGCAGCAAUGCCGCGUGAGUGAAGAAGGCCUUUGGGUUGUAAAGCUCUUUUGUAGGGGAAGAUAAUGACUGUACCCUAAGAAUAAGGUCCGGCUAACUUCGUGCCAGCAGCCGCGGUAAUACGAAGGGACCUAGCGUAGUUCGGAAUUACUGGGCGUAAAGCGCGCGUAGGCCGUUGAGUUAGUUAAUUGUGAAAUCCCAAAGCUUAACUUUGGAACUGCAAUUAAAACUGCUCGACUAGAGUUUGAUAGAGGAAAGCGGAAUACAUAGUGUAGAGGUGAAAUUCGUAGAUAUUAUGUAGAACACCAGUUGCGAAGGCGGCUUUCUGGAUCAACACUGACGCUGAGGCGCGAAAGUAUGGGUAGCAAAGAGGAUUAGAUACCCUCGUAGUCCAUACCAUAAACGAUGAUUGCUAGAUGUUGGAAAUUUAUUUUCAGUAUCGCAGCUAACGCAUUAAGCAAUCCGCCUGGGGAGUACGACCGCAAGGUUAAAACUCAAAUGAAUUGACGG
rnacentral:rRNA from 1 species